GAGCGCCGUAGCAAUACGGAGCGGCAGACGGGAUAGUAACACGUGGGAACGUGCCCUUCAGUUCGGAACAACCCAGGGAAACUUGGGCUAAUACCGGAUACGUCCGCAAGGAGAAAGAUUUAUCGCCGGAAGAUCGGCCCGCGUCCGAUUAGCUAGUUGGUGUGGUAAUGGCGCACCAAGGCUACGAUCGGUAGCUGGUCUGAGAGGAUGAUCAGCCUCACUGGGACUGAGACACGGCCCAGACUCCUACGGGAGGCAGCAGUGGGGAAUAUUGGACAAUGGGCGCAAGCCUGAUCCAGCCAUGCCGCGUGGGUGAUGAAGGCCUUAGGGUUGUAAAGCCCUUUCGGCGGGGAAGAUAAUGACGGUACCCGCAGAAGAAGCCCCGGCUAACUUCGUG
rnacentral:rRNA from 1 species